GGGCGGGUGCUGCUGGAGACCCGCGCGCGGUCGUCAUUUCCUAACCCGCCUGCGGGCCCUGGCGCGUGCGCGGCGUCGGAGCAAGCGGCCCCUUCCUUCGGCCCCGCCCAGCCCCGCCGGCCGCCCGCUCCCUGGGGAACCGAGGGAGGAAUGGGCGGGGUCCUCAGGUGCCCGGCGACGUCAUCCAGCCCCCAAGGCUCCAGGACGCAAAGGGUCCCCUGAUCUGGCAGUCCCUGGACCUACCCUGGAGAGCGUGGGGGGACAAAGGCCGGACGCGCCGCCCGCUGCCGCCUCCAGGAAGCCCUCCCUUGCCAGGACAGUGGAGUUGGCCGGCUGAACAGGAAAAGGAACAGUCCUUCCAAAGUGCCUACGGAAAGCUUUGUCCCAUCCUUGAAAAAUUGCUAAUGGGUUUGGAGAUACGAGGUGGAGAUGACUAGCAAUCAAACUCAAAGGUGGAAGUCACAUCGAGGCAGAUGAGCAGAUGAGGGGACCUAGAGAAGAAGAGAGGUGCAAGGAGAGCCCAGCCAGCAGGAACAUCUGCCCCAGUAGGCAGCACUGCCCCACAUCAGAGUCGAGGAAAGCAAAGCUCGGAUUGGAUAAAAGAAACUUGCAAACACGGUCAGUGCUUACUGCAUGUGGGCUCAGAGCACGUUACCCUCCUUCCCUGCAUGUUCCUGUGAAACGGGUUUACUGCUCUAACUCUCAGGGACACUGUGAAGACCAAACGAGAAAAUAGAAACAAACAUAAUUUAUAAACCAUAAAGUACUGACACCAAAAGAGGGGCGAGCACAGCAUUGUGAAUGUGCUGGUACUAAAUGGUUUGUUUUAAGAUGAUUUUAUGGUGUGUGAAUUUCACUUGAAUAAAUUUUUUUAAUGGAGUUCA
rnacentral:lncRNA from 1 species